UUCGGGGCGCGCGCCUGAGUCGGUUGCGCGGUUACCACCUGGAUGGCUGGGGGCCCCGGCGGCGUUGGAGGAGGCGAACCAGGCCGCCGCCUCCUCCGCGGCCCCUUCGGCUUUUCUGCCCCGCAGGCGAUCGGAGCGUCGAGGGGCUCGCCUCGGGCUGGUUCCUGGAGUAUUUCUGCUCCGACGCCCGUGCGUUUCUGCGCUCAGAAAAUUUCUGACAACUUGACGAAGAUGAGAAAACGGUCAGAAAGGCUGUAGCAGUUACGUACUGACACUGGAGGGUUCAAGAUGGCCAUUAACUUGUCUGGCAUGGUUGGGAGCUGACCUAUCAGUAGUACCACCCUUCUGCUUGCGAAUGUUCCUUGUUCCUAGAUAGCCUGGGCUAACGAGCUCUGACAUAUGACCUUACCAUGACACAUUCUUCCACCAAGAUGGAGACCGAAUAAGGACCAUGACCUGUAUGACAAAUUUCGAGCGGCCAAGAGGAACAGAAAGAAAGAAGAAGGAGAAAUCUUCCAGCUGCUGUUUCAAUCCCCAAAUGUCUUCAGUAGUGGGCCAGACCAAAGCCAGGAAUCAGGAACCGCAUCCUGGCCUGCCAUACAGGAGGCAGGCACCCAAGUAACGUGAGCCAUCACAUGCUGCCUCCCUGGGUACACGUGAGAGCAAGAAGCUGGAUCAGAUGCAGAGGACAAAUUUGAACCCAGGGUUCAGUGCACCUGCAGUGUCUGCAGCCGCAGGGUCAGCAGGCCUACCUGGCUGGGAGGCUAUACAGGUAUCUGGUCGACUGCAAACCCAAAUGGACAGGGAAGAACAUGUUGAGGAGGCACCCAACCACACAGGAACCAUAACAGAGAUGUCUGUAUUCUCUAGGUGAGCAUUUGUUGGCUCAGGGACAGCCCUUGAGGCAGGGGACCAGUCUCCCCAUUGUGGGAAGACACUACCCCCCACCUGCCAGAUCCCAGGUUUGUGGACACCCUCAGACCACCUUGGCCCUGCUGUUACUGCAACCUGUGCCAAAGGGGCUUGUGAAUAGCCCAAUGCACCCCUGUGGCAUCCAGAAUCUAAGUGCAGUGGCACACUGCAGUGUGUUUGGGCCCUGCCACUGGACAAAAGCAUGAAAUCUACAGAGCCUCUGGUGGACCAGGAUCUCUGGAGCCAUCAAGAAGCCCUUGACAUUAGCAGCCUCUUUCAGGCCCAGGGUUUAGAUCCAGUGCCCAGAGAUGAUACAUUGAGGGCACAGCAGAGGGUUCUAGAGAAUGGUUGAGCUCAGUCAACCUAUUUCGAGACAGAACAUGUGGCUCACUCAAUGGAAGUCUGAGUGAUGUCUGGGAGAUGGGUGGGUGAGGAUGCAGGGGGCCAUGGAUGACAGUGUCACUCGGGUGACUCUAAAGGAGGCGAGAUAGCCAUCGCCAUCAUAAGUCCAUUGCUUGCUAUCCGGAGUCAUGGCAGGUGCCUCACAGGCAGGAGAUAGGGAAUUCAGUGUGACUUUGCCCAGCCUGCCUUGGGGAUCAUGACCUGAUAGCAGGGGCAGCGGAACCCAGGCAUGACCCAAGGACUAGGGGGCUGGUCUGAGCUGUAAACACUUGCUGGCCACAGGCAUGCUUCAAAGUCUAAUUUUCUGCAGUCCUGCUCCAUUGACACAUGUGCUCUGGGGAAGCCCACCACACUUCCUGUCUUGAGCAGGGUAGGGCAGGUGGCAACAGACAGAAUAUGUGGUUACCUACUUGGAAGAGCCCCUGGGGCUGAAUUGAACACUUUAACCCUGGGAACACUCACCACAGAGGCUGAUGUCCAGGAAGAGUUGUUCCUCUUGCACAGUGACCCAGCUGCUGGCAUAAACCUGGUUGAGGUGGCCUCCAUAUGCAUGACCAUGGUGCUCCACCAGCAGGGUCCCAUCAUGGGCCUAUGUAGGACAUCAGGCUACUCCAGCUGAGUCAGCUCAGGGCCUGACCAGCUAGGGUGGUAAGGCAUGGAAGACACCCAAAUAGGACACUGGUCCUUCCAGCCUUCCCUGGCAGGCAGAGUUCAUCUGUAGCCAGAGGAAUUGUGGUCCAUGUGGUAGUCCCCACUCCCUGACCAGAGCGAGGCUAUGAAAGUGUAAAGACAGUCUGGGACUGAGAUGCAGGGACCGAGAGGUGAGAGGAUGUUCUCAGGAGAAUGGCCCCUUGCCUGGCUGAGGAACUAAGGGUUGUGAUGCCCUCCAUGACCACCCUCCUUAUUGACAGUCAUGAGCCCUGAUAAAGCUGUCAGUGGCACCUGGGGCCGAACUUGGCUGAAAUCCCCCCCCACACACACACACACGCCACUCAAGUGAAUGCAACUACUGAACUGCUUUAGUGCUGAGAUCUUUGGUCAACCUUCUCAUCUGACUCCCCAGGUCUGUUGCUCUGGGGUUCUAAACCCCCACCUCCUUCCCCUUUUCCUGUUAUCCAGGGAAGGAAAGCCCAAAUCCUGACAGGAAAGAAGGAGCAAAGAGUACAGAGGGCUCAGACACUUGGUAUGUAGCUGAUUCAUAGGCCAUUCUGUCUCCCACUUUGGGUGAAGUGAUCUGCCAAGUGGGUCUAUUUGAUUUAGGUAUCACCUUGGGUAGCAAGGCUGAGAGUGUAGCAGACCCAU